AAAAUAAUAAAUGGAGGAUUAAUUUGUUUAAAUUUUUAAAUAAAAUAUUAAUAAGAUAAAUAGAAAGUAAGAAUUUUUAAAUAAAUAUGGUAUAGAAAUACGCAACCAAUUCACUUAAAGCGUAUAGAAACAACGCCCACGAGUCUCGAUCGUGACUCGGCCCACCUGACCUCACGUCACUUUAAACAUGACUCGGCCCAACCCAGCCUCACGUCAUUUCGAACAUGACUCGGCCCACAUGGCCUCCCGCCACAGGGCAGGAUGCUGGCCCAUUUAAGCCAACAUACACGAUACACCUAGUUCAAAAAGUAUAUGAUUUAGCCUAUUCUUACUUUAGUAUCCUAUGAUUUAAAGUGUAUCACUUAAGUACUCUGCGGUUUUAUUAUUAUUUUUUUCGUCAGCCCCCCGUUAACUCUCCUUUAAAACAUAUUAAAAAAAUACUUCAAAUAUUUCCGUGCUUUAUCGAAUAUUCACUUUAGUAUUCCGUAGUUUAUAAAAUUUUAUUUUAGUAUCCUAUAACUUUAACUUUCUCACUGAUUUAAGAAAAAAAUUAACGGAGAAAAUAACGGAAAGAGAAAAACGAUACCAUAGGGUACUAAAAUGAUACAGUCAGAUUAAAUGAUACUAAAGUGUAAUAGUGUUAAAUCAUAGGGGCAAUAUUUGAAGAUUUUUCCUAUAUUUUUUUUUAUAGAAUGAAUAUUUUAUAUUCUUUUG
rnacentral:lncRNA from 1 species